GCGGGGGUGCCCGAGCCAGGUCAAAGGGGCAGGGCUUAGGACCCUGUGGCGUAGGCCUGCGUGGGUUCAAAUCCCACCCCCCGCACCA
rnacentral:tRNA from 1 species